rnacentral:pre_miRNA from 39 species
UGAGGGCCCCUCUGCGUGUUCACAGCGGACCUUGAUUUAAUGUCUAUACAAUUAAGGCACGCGGUGAAUGCCAAGAGAGGCGCCUCC